CGUUCCCGGGUCUUGUACACACCGCCCGUCACACCAUGGGAGCGGGUUUUACCAGAAGUAGGUAGCUUAACCGCAAGGAGGGCGAUUACCACGGCAGGGUUCGUGACUGGGGUG
rnacentral:rRNA from 1 species